rnacentral:rRNA from 1 species
UACGGAGGUGGCAAGCGUUGCUCGGAAUCACUGGGCGUAAAGGGCGCGUAGGCGGGGAGGUAAGUCGGGGGUGAAAUCCCUCGGCUUAACCGGGGAACUGCAUCUGAUACUGGAUGGCUUGAGUUCGGGAGAGGGAUGUGGAAUUCCAGGUGUAGCGGUGAAAUGCGUAGAUAUCUGGAGGAACACCGGUGGCGAAGGCGGCAUCCUGGACCGACACUGACGCUGAGGAGCGAAAGCCAGGGGAGCAAACGGG